UACGUAGGGGGCUAGCGUUGUCCGGAAUCAUUGGGCGUAAAGAGCGUGUAGGCGGUCCGGUAAGUCCGCUGUGAAAGUCGGGGGCUCAACCCUCGAAUGCCGGUGGAUACUGUCGGGCUAGAGUGCGGAAGAGGCGAGUGGAAUUCCUGGUGUAGCGGUGAAAUGCGCAGAUAUCAGGAGGAACACCGGUGGCGAAGGCGGCAUCCUGGACCGGUAUUGACGCUGAGGCGCGAAAGCCAGGGGAGCAAACGGG
rnacentral:rRNA from 1 species